rnacentral:rRNA from 19 species
UGACCUCGGAUCAGGUAGGGAUACCCGCUGAACUUA